GGCACGGUGGCAUAGUGGGUAGCACUGUUGCUACCACACAGCAAGAAGGUCGUGGGUUCGAUUCCAGCCUGGGGCC